rnacentral:rRNA from 1 species
UACGUAGGGUGCGAGCGUUAAUCGGAAUUACUGGGCGUAAAGCGUGCGCAGGCGGUUCGUCAAGUCUGAUGUGAAAUCCCCGGGCUCAACCUGGGAAUGGCCUUGGAAACUAGCGAGCUUGAGUGUGGCAGAGGGGGGUGGAAUUCCACGUGUAGCAGUGAAAUGCGUAGAGGUGUGGAGGAACACCGAUGGCGAAGGCAGCCCCCUGGGCGAACACUGACGCUCAUGCACGAAAGCGUGGGGAGCAAACAGG